rnacentral:lncRNA from 1 species
UUCCUCCCAAUCUCUUUUUUCUCCCCCUUCUUCUCUUUCUCCCCCCUCCUCUUCCCUCCUCUUCCUCCCUCCCUCCCUCCUCCUCCUCAUCCUCCUCUUCCUCUUCAUCCUCUUCUCCUUCCUCCCUCUCCUCCUCCUCCUUUUCCAGCCCUACCUACCUUCCCUUUCUUCUUCAUUUAUUCAAAGUAGCUUUGAACAGCACUACUCGGUUUAGUUGUGUAUAAAAGGAAAAUGCAGGUCCAAGCAGCUUGGGGAAGAUUGCUUUUUGCUCUCUGGAGGCAGAUGAUGACAGUUCAAGAUCAUUCCUUUUGCUCCAUGUCACAGGAAGGGGGACAUGCCGAAUCUACCAGUUUGCAGCCACCUACACAGGAUCCACCUUCACUUCUAAGGAAAUGUUUGGGAAGCUACCUACCAACCACUUCUGGCAUCUCAUGGGCUAGAGGACUCUUAAAUGGCACUCUUAUUUGUUUAAUAAAGGAGGUUGUGACGUGUAGUUUUAAAUCCCUUCCACACAACAAUUGCUACUCUCUGACCAAAAAAGAAGGGAGACAGGAUACGGCUAGGUGUCUAGUAGACUUUACCACUUUGAAAAGCCUUAAUAUAAAUCAGGUAGAUACAUCUUUUUAACUUAUUCUUGUAAAGACAAAAACAAAACUUUAUUUUUAUUUGUGUGUAUGCUUGUGUGUGUGUGCCUGUGUGUAUACCACAUGUCGCUGGUGCCGGAGAACACCAGAAGAGGGGACCUGAUCUCCUGGAGCUAAAGCUAUCCAUGGUUCUGAGCUGCCUGAUGUGGGUGCUGGGAACAGAACUCUGGUCUUCUGCAAGAGCAACAAGCCUCCUCUUAACUACGAAUCUCCUCCCCAUCCCCCCAAAUACAUUUAAUUAUUCAUUUUAGCAGCUUUAUUUCGUAACUACUUAUCACAGCAUAAAACAAGGAUUUUAUAUAUAUUACAUGCAAUCGAGGAUAAGAGUUGAGGGGAGAUGCGUGUGCUCCUUCUGGGUGUCUGUGCUUUUGAAGAAUGUAAGCAGUGCACAAGGGACCGAGGCGUGCCUGUCUGCCAGGAGCUGUCUUCUUCCC